GGCGCUGCGGCGGGCGCGGGCGCUGCCGAGCCUUCGGCGGGCUCGUCGGCGAAGUCGACCACGGUGCUGCGGGCGUACAGGUCGACCGAUGCGUCG
rnacentral:tRNA from 1 species